CAACUUUCAGCAACGGAUCUCUUGGCUCUCCCAUCGAUGAAGAACGCAGCGAAAUGCGAUAAGUAAUGUGAAUUGCAGAAUUCAGUGAAUCAUCGAAUCUUUGAACGCACCUUGCGCCCUUUGGUAUUCCGAAGGGCAUGCCUGUUUGAGUGUCAUUA
rnacentral:rRNA from 14 species